rnacentral:rRNA from 1 species
UACGUAGGCAGCGAGCGUUGUUCGGAGUUACUGGGCGUAAAGAGUGCGUAGGCGGUUUUCUAAGUUUGGUGUGAAAUCUCCCGGCUUAACCGGGAGGGUGGCAUUGAUACUGCGGGGCUAGAGUACAGAUGAGGUAGGCGGAAUUGACGGUGUAGCGGUGAAAUGUGUAGAGAUCGGGAGGAACACCGGUGGCGAAGGCGGGUCUCUGGGCCUUACCUGACGCUCAGGCGCGAAAGCUAGGGGAGCGAACAGG